rnacentral:lncRNA from 1 species
GAGUGCGGGAGUUCGUCGCAUGCGCAUGUCGUGGAACCUACUCUCCACGAGUUUUUAUUGUUGUUGCUUUUGUACCCCCUCGGGAUCCCUAGCGGAGGCAGUGACUCUCUUUCCCCCCAAGACGUUGUUCCCUGUUUGAAGGUGUUCUUCCUAAUGUUUCCUAGGCUGCUGAAUUCAGCUCUCUAAAAAAUGCGGAAUGCUAACCAUGACUCCCAGGCAAGUGCUACACCAAAGCAUCUAUUCUGCUGGAAACGUUCAUGCUGAUUAACUAGAAAUAAGUUGAUCCUCUACUGAGUAUCAGGGAGUGCGUUUUUCUAUAACAGGAAAAAACGGAAGAAUGCAAGAUGGAAUUUCCAGUACCUCUUUUUAAGAUACAAUUGGUGUUAGCAUAUUACAAUUAUUUUAUUGCAUCAUCACUAUCAUUAGUAUGAUUAAUAGCCACAUAUUUCCUCCUGACGUUAUGUGUUAUGAUCUUAGAAUUUUGAAGACUUUGACCACUGCGAGUCGGGACCGGGAAUUUUCUAUCUAAAAUAAUAGACUCUACUUCCUUCUAUAUAACUUAGCAAGACUGCCAAAUGUACAGGAUAACAUUUGGAAAAUAAGAUUGGAUUCAUCCCCUAGUGACCAAAUUAAUGCUUUAAUAAUGAGGAAUGCUUUCCCUGAGAUCUAAAACAUCUCACAAGAGAUCUAAGACAUAUAUCACAAUUAACAAAAGACAUGGAAUUUUUUACCACGUAAGAUUAAGAAGAUGGUCAAAUGUUUUACCAUGAGCAAACAAAGGAGACAUUUGAUCUAGUGUCUGUCUCCAUAUGUUCCCUUGGUGCAGAUCUCCCACAAUUCAUUCAUUAACCAGGAAAUACUCAUUACCCACUGCGCUAGUCGUUUGUGAUAGAGCAAUAAGCAAAACAGACAAAAAUCCCUACUGUCAUGGGAAAGAGAAAAAAAUGACAAAAAAUAAGCAAAACAUACUAUGUUAGAUAGUGAUAAGUGAUGAAGUGAAAAUAAGAGAGGACUCACAAUUUUUGAGAGGGUAAUAGAGGGACCAGAGAAGGCUCAUGAGGAGGUGACAUUGGAGUUAAGUGACAGAGUGAGGAAAUUGGCCAUGCAGCUAACUGGAGGAACAAUAUUCCAGGCAGAAAGAACAGCAAGUGCAAAGUCGCUGCAAGUGGCCAUGUUCCUGGCAGAUUGGAGGAACAGUAAGAGGGUUUAUGUACUGGAAAAGACGGGGAGACGAAUGGGGAAUGCAGUUAGAGAGUAACAAUAGCCACGGCACCUAGGGCUUUGUAGGCCAUUGUAAGGAAUGUUACUUUGAGCAGAGGAGUGACAUGAUCUGAGUUAAUGUUUUCAUAGGACUGCUUUGGAUGCUGUGUGGAGAGUAGACAAUGGAGCUAAGGGCAAAAGGGAGAUCAGUCAGAAGUUAUUGCUGGCUUGGACCCAGGCAAUAAUAGGUGGAGAGGUAAGUGGACAUAUUUUAGACAUAUUUUAAAGAAAGCCAACCAAAUUUGCUGACAUUGAAUAUGGAGUGUGGGAGUAUCAAUCACUGCCAUGGGUAUGAAAAUCUUAAUAAACAGAAUUGGAACUCACUAGAAGCAGAGUGUACUCUGAGAGAAACAUUAGAAAAACAGUUACUUGUUCCUGUGGUUCAGAAAUAAGGACGAGUCCUAAAGCGUUGAUAGUGUGCAGGGAGAAGAAAGAGUGAUGAAACUUAAGUGAGAGCACAAUGGGGUUUUGUUACACAUCAGGGUAUGAAGGCGGGAGCUGAAGGAGGAAGGGGGAGCCAAAGAAGUGCCAGGUUUCUGCCUAAGGCUUACCUCAGAGAAGGACAAAAGGAUAUUAGCAUCUUGUUAAUAAAGGCAACUCUUCACACCUGGAGUUUUCCCAGAGCCUGAAGUACGGGGACACCUUUCACAUGUGCGGAGGAAAGAAUCCUAGAAUUUUAUAGUUGAAAAAGAAUUCUGAGAUUGCCUAGGCUCACCUCAUCAACAUCAAAAAGGAACGAGAAAAAUUAAGUGUUUUGUCUCAGAUUACAUUCCUGGUUAAUGACAGAAUAGCAUCAGAACUGGAGUUUUCAAUUCCCUUUUUUUCCCCCCUGAGGCAGAGUCUUGCUCUAUCCCUCAGGCAGGAGUGCAGUAGCACUAUCUCAGCUCACUGCAACUGCUGCCUCUCAGGUUCAAGCGAUCCUCCUACCUUGGCCUCCUGACUAGCUAGGAUUACAAGCGCCCGCCACCACACCUGGCUAUUUUUUGUAUUUUUAGUAGAGACUGGAUUUCAUCAUGUUGGCCAGGCUGGUCCCGAACUCCUGGCCUCAAGUGAUCUGCCCGCCUCGGCCUCCCAAAGUGCUGCAAUUGUAGGCGUGAGCCACCAGGCCAGCCUCAAUUUCCGUUUGGGGCUCUUUACUGCUACGGAACAUUCAGAAUCCCACUAAUGUGAGUCCAGACUGUUUCUAACAGUUGUUUUGAAAGCCGUCUGUGUUCCUUAGAGAGUACUCCCUUUUACAAUGCUAUUUAAUUUCUGUGGAUUAUAGCAGAGAGAAAGCCUUAAUUAGGUGCUCUAUUUAAGACAACUAAUUUGCCUUUUUAUCAAGGAGGGUACAUUCCAGAAUCAACAAUGUGCAGGCAGCAUUAGCUAUAGCAAUGCACAACAAAUAUGUGAACUUUGAAUUUGAAUCCUUAAAUCUAAAAGCUUUGAAUUCAUGUUUGUUUUCUAGAAAUUCCUUGACUUCUGAGAAUUUUUAUUAAGGAAUUCAGAUUUGCUGUAGUUCUACGGAGCUGUAAUUCUCCAGACAUUGCCUUCAAUAAUGCUAAUACUGCAUUCCAUAAUAGAGAUUUUUUUUUUCCCCUUACAGUUACAUUCUUAGUGGAGAAAACUGGCAAUUAGGGAGCUUCUCAUGUUUUAACAACUUUUUUAAAAAAUUAAUUUAGUAUUAAAAUUUAUUUUAGUGGAGCCUAUAAGGUAUGACCCUGGGCUAACCUCAUAGCAUUCUGAGUUCUUAGUUGUCUCAUCUGAAAAUGAAGAAAGUGAACCAUUUGUUUUUUUUUUUUUUUUUUUUUUGAGACAAAGUCUUGCUCUGUCGCCCAGGCUGGAGUGCAGUGGCAUGAUCUCGGCUCACUGCAAGCUCCGCUUCCCGGGUUCAGGCCAUUCUCCUGCCUCAGCCUCCCUAGUAGCUGGGACUACAGGCGCCUGCCACCACACUCGGCUGAUUUUUUGUAGUUUUAGUGGAGACGGGGUUUCACCGUGUUAGCCAGGAUGGUCUCGAUCUCCUGACCUCGUGAUCC